rnacentral:rRNA from 1 species
UACAGAGGUGUCAAGCGUUGUUCGGAUUUAUUGGGCGUAAAGGGUGCGUAGGCGGUUGUGCAAGUCAGAUGUGAAAUACCGGAGCCUAACUCCGGAACUGCAUUUGAAACUGCACAGCUCGAGGUCUGGAGAGGUGAUUGGAAUUCUAGGUGUAGCAGUGAAAUGCGUAGAUAUCUAGAGGAACACCAGAGGCGAAAGCGAAUCACUGGACAGAACCUGACGCUGAGGCACGAAAGCUAGGGGAGCAAACGGG